CAAUGACAACCGCAUGGUUGUUAUUUAAAAGAUGGUUCUGCUAUCACUAAGAGAUGGUCCCGCGGUGCAUUAGCUAGUUGGUAAGGUAAUGGCUUACCAAGGCGAUGAUGCAUAGCCGAGUUGAGAGACUGAUCGGCCACAAUGGGACUGAGACACGGCCCAUACUCCUACGGGAGGCAGCAGUAGGGAAUCUUCCACAAUGGGCGAAAGCCUGAUGGAGCAACGCCGCGUGUGUGAUGAAGGGUUUCGGCUCGUAAAACACUGUUGUAAGAGAAGAAUGACAUUGAGAGUAACUGUUCAAUGUGUGACGGUAUCUUACCAGAAAGGAACGGCUAAAUACGUGCCAGCAGCCGCGGUAAUACGUAUGUUCCAAGCGUUAUCCGGAUUUAUUGGGCGUAAAGCGAGCGCAGACGGUUAUUUAAGUCUGAAGUGAAAGCCCUCAGCUCAACUGAGGAAUUGCUUUGGAAACUGGAUGACUUGAGUGCAGUAGAGGAAAGUGGAACUCCAUGUGUAGCGGUGAAAUGCGUAGAUAUAUGGAAGAACACCAGUGGCGAAGGCGGCUUUCUGGACUGUAACUGACGUUGAGGCUCGAAAGUGUGGGUAGCAAACAGGAUUAGAUACCCUGGUAGUCCACACCGUAAACGAUGAGUGCUAGGUGUUUGAGGGUUUCCGCCCUUAAGUGCCGCAGCUAACGCAUUAAGCACUCCGCCUGGGGAGUACGACCGCAAGGUUGAAACUCAAAGGAAUUGACGGGGACC
rnacentral:rRNA from 1 species